rnacentral:rRNA from 1 species
CCCGCGUCUGAUUAGCUAGUUGGUAAGGUAACGGCUUACCAAGGCGACGAUCAGUAGCCGACCUGAGAGGGUGAUCGGCCACAUUGGAACUGAGACACGGUCCAAACUCCUACGGGAGGCAGCAGUGGGGAAUAUUGCACAAUGGGCGAAAGCCUGAUGCAGCAACGCCGCGUGAGUGAUGAAGGCCUUCGGGUCGUAAAACUCUGUCCUCAAGGAAGAUAAUGACGGUACUUGAGGAGGAAGCCCCGGCUAACUACGUGCCAGCAGCCGCGGUAAUACGUAGGGGGCUAGCGUUAUCCGGAUUUACUGGGCGUAAAGGGUGCGUAGGCGGUCUUUCAAGUCAGGAGUGAAAGGCUACGGCUCAACCGUAGUAAGCUCUUGAAACUGGGAGACUUGAGUGCAGGAGAGGAGAGUGGAAUUCCUAGUGUAGCGGUGAAAUGCGUAGAUAUUAGGAGGAACACCAGUUGCGAAGGCGGCUCUCUGGACUGUAACUGACGCUGAGGCACGAAAGCGUGGGGAGCAAACAGGAUUAGAUACCCUGGUAGUCCACGCUGUAAACGAUGAGUACUAGGUGUCGGGGGUUACCCCCUUCG